rnacentral:misc_RNA from 1 species
GAUGAAGAACGUAGCGAAAUGCGAUAAGUAAUGUGAAUUGCGGAAUUCAGUGAAUCAUCGAAUCUUUGAACGCACAUUGCGCCCGCCAGUAUUCUGGCGGGCAUGCCUGUUCGAGCGUCAUUACAACCCUCAGGCCCCCGGGCCUGGCGUUGGGGAUCGGCGGAAGCCCCCUGUGGGCACACGCCGUCCCUCAAAUACAGUGGCGGUCCCGCCGCAGCUUCCAUUGCGUAGUAGCUAACACCUCGCAACUGGAGAGCGGCGCGGCCAUGCCGUAAAACACCCAACUUCUGAAUGUUGACCUCGAAUCAGGUAGGAAUACCCGCUGAACUUAAGCAUAUCAAUAAGCGGAGGA